rnacentral:rRNA from 1 species
ACUCCUACGGGAGGCAGCAGUGGGGAAUAUUGGACAAUGGGCGCAAGCCUGAUCCAGCCAUGCCGCGUGAGUGAUGAAGGCCUUAGGGUUGUAAAGCUCUUUUGUCCGGGAAGAUAAUGACUGUACCGGAAGAAUAAGCCCCGGCUAACUCUGUGCCAGCAGCCGCGGUAAU